rnacentral:rRNA from 1 species
GAGCGAUUUACUUCGGUAAAGAGCGGCGGACGGGUGAGUAACGCGUGGGUAACCUGCCCUGUACACACGGAUAACAUACCGAAAGGUAUGCUAAUACGAGAUAAUAUACUUUUAUCGCAUGGUAGAAGUAUCAAAGCUCCGGCGGUACAGGAUGGACCCGCGUCUGAUUAGCUAGUUGGUAAGGUAACGGCUUACCAAGGCGACGAUCAGUAGCCGACCUGAGAGGGUGAUCGGCCACAUUGGAACUGAGACACGGUCCAAACUCCUACGGGAGGCAGCAGUGGGGAAUAUUGCACAAUGGGCGAAAGCCUGAUGCAGCAACGCCGCGUGAGCGAUGAAGGCCUUCGGGUCGUAAAGCUCUGUCCUCAAGGAAGAUAAUGACGGUACUUGAGGAGGAAGCCCCGGCUAACUACGUGCCAGCAGCCGCGGUAAUACGUAGGGGGCUAGCGUUAUCCGGAAUUACUGGGCGUAAAGGGUGCGUAGGUGGUUUCUUAAGUCAGAGGUGAAAGGCUACGGCUCAACCGUAGUAAGCCUUUGAAACUGGGAAACUUGAGUGCAGGAGAGGAGAGUGGAAUUCCUAGUGUAGCGGUGAAAUGCGUAGAUAUUAGGAGGACACCAGUUGCGA